GAUGAGCUCGCGUCUGAUUAGCUAGUUGGUAGCGUAAGAGCCUAACUAAGGUGACGAUCUGUAGCUGGUCUGACAGGAUGAUCAGCCACAGUGGGAUUGAUACACGGUCCAGACUCCUACCGGAGGCAGUAGAGGGGAAUCCCGCGCAAUGCGCGCAAGCCUGACGGAGCAUCACCGCGUGGGGGAUGACUGCCUAAUGGUUGUAAACCCCUUUUCUCUGGGAAGAAGACUGAUGGUACCAGAAGAUUCAGACUCGGCUAACUCCGUUGCAGCAGCCGCGGUAAUACGGAGGACGCAAGCGUCAUCAGGAAUUAUUGGGCGUACAGCGUCCGUAUGUGGUUAUUCACGUCUGCUGUCAAAGCGUGGGGCUUAUCUCUCAUAGAGGCAGUGGAAACUGAGUGACUAUAGUGCGGUAGGAGUCGAGGGAAUUCGCAGUGUAGCUGUCAAAUGCGUAUCAUGUUGGGAAGAACAUCAGUGGCGAAAGCGCUACGACUGGGUCCUGCACUGACACUGAGGGACGAAGGCUAUGGUAGCGGAAAGGUAUUAGAUAUCCCUGUACUCCUAGUCGUAAACGAUGGAUACUAGGUGUUGCUCGUCA
rnacentral:rRNA from 1 species